ensembl:lncRNA
CGCGGCGGGGCGCAAGGAGCUCAAAGUUUCGCUCCCGCUGGAAAUGCGCACACGCGUCUGUUCCCGCCUCAGAGCCUCCUUUUUCUUAUUGCAACCUCUAUUCUUUUUUUUUAGUAGUAGUACUUGUCUGGAAUACGUGCCACCGUUUUCCCUCUUCCGAUGCGGGAUUUGGUCCAUCAUUCUGCCUAUUUUCUAGGCAGCAUGCUGGAAACAAAAAGUAAACUGUUCAGAGAGCCAGAUCCACAGCCUGUGAAGUAAAUGGAAGUCUUUCCAUUGAUGCCUAUGGAUUGUGGAUCAGACCCAAGGCACAAGGUGCAGCAGACACAUGGUGCCAGCAGUGUUUUGCUAGCUCCUUAACCCAGAAAUCCAGCACUGCACAGGUUCCACUCUGCUGGUGUGCAAAUAGACUGAAUUGGUAGCAGAAGUCAAUGACAAGGGGAAUCACCUGACUAAACCUUCCUGGAGUGCUGAGAUAGUCUCUGUUGUAGCAUCCAGGUUCCGGUUUGUGCUUUUGAAGGAGAGAUUUCAGCUGUUGGUAGACUCACAGGAAAAUUUUACACUGCAUGUACAUAAAUGCUUCUCUUCAGAAUUUAACCUGUAUAUUUUGAAGCUUAGGUUUUGGUAUUACAACUUCUUCUGUACAUUGACACUUCUCCAGACACCAAGCGAUCCCAUGAGAAAUCGGAUUCUGUUUCAGCAGUGCAAAUAUCCACGGGACUCACCCCUGGACAUAUGCUAAGACUUCCAAGGACAGAAUUGGUCCUUUCUCACAAAUGCUGCUGUAUGUGCAGAUUUGCCGCUGAUUACUGUGGGACUGCCACAAGAUAUCAGGCUUAGCAAUGCAGCAGGUGCAGUCGGAUGCAGAGAGCUGGCUGUUUUAACAAUCCAACUGGAGAGAAAAAAAAAAAACUAGCCAAUUUGCCAUAGGAAGUGUUAUUCCUCGAAAAAUGCAAAUUACAUGUAUUUGGCAUAUGGAAAGUGUGUAUCUGCCUGCCUGCAGUUUACAAAUAACACAGUGAGAAAUUUGAAGAAUGAUCUUUGAUUUCCUAAGAGGAGCUUAGCAGAAGUUUUAUUUGUGCAAUAGUAGGGUAAAGAACUCGGCAAAUCAGUUAAGAGAAGAAAAUUUCACUGCUAUUUAGAGAAAACAUGAUGUGCUAGUGGAAAGAAGACUUUUAGGAAUUGCGCUGGCACAUGUCUUUGGGUUUGCUUUUCAGGCUGCAAUAUGCAGAUUUAGAAGAGUACAUAUUUAAGGAACUGUGAGGUUCAUUUACAGUGGCUACUGUGUUAUAUUUGUAGCAGCUGCUUUCCUGUCAUGAAUGGUAAAUGUAUUUUCUGUUCUAAUGAUGUGCUUCAGAAUCAACAUUGCUUGGAGCAGUUACAUUUCAGAGUUUUUGCCUGAGGAAGAUUUUCUAUUGUGGAGAAUUGAGAAGUGAAUGAAAAAUUAAACAGAGGCUAGUUACCCUUCUGUAAGAAGUUUCUUUAAAAAAACAAAAAACAACAAAAACCCCAAACCCUUCCACCCUAUGCAUGGACAUAAAGGACAAGCACAUGUUCUUAGCAAUCUUCCACAUUGUUACAAAUUAGGCUAGUAAUUUUGUGAAAUUGAGAUUUGUGGGAAAAAAUGAUUCAUUCACCACAAUAUAAAUGUGUUUCCCUUUGCUUGUCUUGGAUGGCAAAAGAAGAUAAUCCUUUCUGACUCAGGAUCCUGCAAAGCCCAAAGUAUGCAUUUACAUAUACAU